rnacentral:rRNA from 1 species
UACGUAGGGUGCAAGCGUUGUCCGGAAUUAUUGGGCGUAAAGAGCUUGUAGGCGGUUUGUCGCGUCUGCUGUGAAAUUUCGGGGCUCAACCCCGAACUUGCAGUGGGUACGGGCAGACUAGAGUGUGGUAGGGGAGACUGGAAUUCCUGGUGUAGCGGUGAAAUGCGCAGAUAUCAGGAGGAACACCGAUGGCGAAGGCAGGUCUCUGGGCCAUAACUGACGCUGAGAAGCGAAAGCGUGGGGAGCGAACAGG